rnacentral:piRNA from 1 species
UAUAACUACCUACUAAGGCAGAAAGCUAUA